UGUAUUCCUAGCAAACAGGAUGAAAAUGAAGAAAGUUUGUUUGUUUUUGUUUUUGUUUUUUGGAAUGAGAUGGAAAAUAAUCAUUUUAAGAGCCAAAAAAAGUGCAAAGUCAAGUUAGCUGUAUAGUCACCUGGGAAGGAAUUUGUGGUUUUAAUUCAAUUUGAAAAUGAAGUAAUGAUGGAACAUAGUACCAGCUUUCCUCCCCACUCCCAACCCUCCAUUAUCCUUUGGGCAGGUGGUUCUAAAACUGUCUAGCUUGACAUGUUGUUUUCCUUUUGGGGGGAAAAAAAUCUUUAACUUCAAGAAAAUUUAGAAAUAACAUGUAUAUAGUUAGAAUUUUAAGUAUUUGAAACCAUGUCAUGUUUGAGUUCAUUGAAUUUGAAACAUUUAAAAUAAUUUUAAUUAACUGAGAAGGAAAUCUCCUUUUAAGGUGAAUAGAGAAUCUGCCAGAUUUGUUCAUAGAGUAUUAAGAUUUGUAAACAGAACUUGACUCUUAUGGAAUAACUAGGAUUUUGAGUUUACAAUUUGCAACCCAAUAAGUUGAAUAUUAUAAGAUACUUUGUGUACAAUCAGUGUCUUCAAAAAUUGUGCUCUAUAAGUGUAAUAUGAAAUGAAUUGCAUUCUGCCAUUAAGUAUAACAAAC
rnacentral:lncRNA from 1 species